rnacentral:rRNA from 1 species
UACGUAGGGUGCGAGCGUUGUCCGGAAUUAUUGGGCGUAAAGCGCGCGCAGGCGGUUCUUUAAGUCUGAUGUGAAAGCCCACGGCUCAACCGUGGAGGGUCAUUGGAAACUGGGGAACUUGAGUACAGAAGAGGAAAGCGGAAUUCCACGUGUAGCGGUGAAAUGCGUAGAGAUGUGGAGGAACACCAGUGGCGAAGGCGGCUUUCUGGUCUGUAACUGACGCUGAGGCGCGAAAGCGUGGGGAGCAAACAGG